GGUUGUGGCUCAGUGGUAGAGCACUUGCCUAGCAUGCGUGAGACACUGGGUUUGAUUCUCAGAGCCA
rnacentral:tRNA from 1 species